UUAAGCGACUAAGCGUACACGGUGGAUGCCCUGGCAGUCAGAGGCGAUGAAGGACGUGCUAAUCUGCGAUAAGCGUCGGUAAGGUGAUAUGAACCGUUAUAACCGGCGAUUUCCGAAUGGGGAAACCCAGUGUGAUUCGUCACACUAUCAUUAACUGAAUCCAUAGGUUAAUGAGGCGAACCGGGGGAACUGAAACAUCUAAGUACCCCGAGGAAAAGAAAUCAACCGAGAUUCCCCCAGUAGCGGCGAGCGAACGGGGAGCAGCCCAGAGCCUGAAUCAGUGUGUGUGUUAGUGGAAGCGUCUGGAAAGGCGCGCGAUACAGGGUGACAGCCCCGUACACAAAAAUGCACAUGCUGUGAGCUCGAUGAGUAGGGCGGGACACGUGGUAUCCUGUCUGAAUAUGGGGGGACCAUCCUCCAAGGCUAAAUACUCCUGACUGACCGAUAGUGAACCAGUACCGUGAGGGAAAGGCGAAAAGAACCCCGGCGAGGGGAGUGAAAAAGAACCUGAAACCGUGUACGUACAAGCAGUGGGAGCACGCUUAGGCGUGUGACUGCGUACCUUUUGUAUAAUGGGUCAGCGACUUAUAUUCUGUAGCAAGGUUAACCGAAUAGGGGAGCCGAAGGGAAACCGAGUCUUAACUGGGCGUUAAGUUGCAGGGUAUAGACCCGAAACCCGGUGAUCUAGCCAUGGGCAGGUUGAAGGUUGGGUAACACUAACUGGAGGACCGAACCGACUAAUGUUGAAAAAUUAGCGGAUGACUUGUGGCUGGGGGUGAAAGGCCAAUCAAACCGGGAGAUAGCUGGUUCUCCCCGAAAGCUAUUUAGGUAGCGCCUCGUGAAUUCAUCUCCGGGGGUAGAGCACUGUUUCGGCAAGGGGGUCAUCCCGACUUACCAACCCGAUGCAAACUGCGAAUACCGGAGAAUGUUAUCACGGGAGACACACGGCGGGUGCUAACGUCCGUCGUGAAGAGGGAAACAACCCAGACCGCCAGCUAAGGUCCCAAAGUCAUGGUUAAGUGGGAAACGAUGUGGGAAGGCCCAGACAGCCAGGAUGUUGGCUUAGAAGCAGCCAUCAUUUAAAGAAAGCGUAAUAGCUCACUGGUCGAGUCGGCCUGCGCGGAAGAUGUAACGGGGCUAAACCAUGCACCGAAGCUGCGGCAGCGACGCUUAUGCGUUGUUGGGUAGGGGAGCGUUCUGUAAGCCUGCGAAGGUGUGCUGUGAGGCAUGCUGGAGGUAUCAGAAGUGCGAAUGCUGACAUAAGUAACGAUAAAGCGGGUGAAAAGCCCGCUCGCCGGAAGACCAAGGGUUCCUGUCCAACGUUAAUCGGGGCAGGGUGAGUCGACCCCUAAGGCGAGGCCGAAAGGCGUAGUCGAUGGGAAACAGGUUAAUAUUCCUGUACUUGGUGUUACUGCGAAGGGGGGACGGAGAAGGCUAUGUUGGCCGGGCGACGGUUGUCCCGGUUUAAGCGUGUAGGCUGGUUUUCCAGGCAAAUCCGGAAAAUCAAGGCUGAGGCGUGAUGACGAGGCACUACGGUGCUGAAGCAACAAAUGCCCUGCUUCCAGGAAAAGCCUCUAAGCAUCAGGUAACAUCAAAUCGUACCCCAAACCGACACAGGUGGUCAGGUAGAGAAUACCAAGGCGCUUGAGAGAACUCGGGUGAAGGAACUAGGCAAAAUGGUGCCGUAACUUCGGGAGAAGGCACGCUGAUAUGUAGGUGAAGUCCCUCGCGGAUGGAGCUGAAAUCAGUCGAAGAUACCAGCUGGCUGCAACUGUUUAUUAAAAACACAGCACUGUGCAAACACGAAAGUGGACGUAUACGGUGUGACGCCUGCCCGGUGCCGGAAGGUUAAUUGAUGGGGUUAGCGCAAGCGAAGCUCUUGAUCGAAGCCCCGGUAAACGGCGGCCGUAACUAUAACGGUCCUAAGGUAGCGAAAUUCCUUGUCGGGU
rnacentral:rRNA from 1 species